rnacentral:rRNA from 1 species
AGUGAACGCUGGCGGCAGGCCUAACACAUGCAAGUCGAACGGCAGAACAGUAAUAGCUCGUUCUUACGGGUGGCGACUGGUGGUCGGUUGCUAAAUACCUCGGUAUUUACUUUUUCGUGGGUUAUAACGUAGGGGAACUUACGCUAUUACUGCUUACGACGUACGUGUGAAAGCAGGGUAUCUUCCGCUCUCGCCUGAUUGUAUGUGCGGUUGUCGGAUUAGCUAGUUAGAGGGGUAAAGGCCCACCAAGCCGACGAUCCGCAGCUGGUCUGAUAGGUCGAUCAGACACACUGGAACUGAGACACGGUCCAGACUCCUAAGGGAGGCAGCAGUGGGGAAUAUUGGACAAUGGGCGCAAGCCUGAUCCAGCCAGAACGCGUGGGUGAAGAAGGCCUUCGGGUUGUAAAGAACUUUUAGUGGGAAAGAAAAGCAGCAAGUUAAUACCCCGCUGUGUUGACGGUACCAAAAGAAUAAGCACCGGCUAAAUUCGUG